rnacentral:lncRNA from 1 species
CAAAUUAAUCUUAACUACAGUGUCUAGAAAACCAGAAGAUACUACACAGAGACCAUAAGGAACGAAAUGAACAAGUAUGAGGCUUCACUGUGGGUCAUGAAGGAAUUGGCAAGAUGAUUCAAUAUCUAAGCAAGCUGACCCUAUGAAGAUGUGAAGAGCUCUUCUACUGAUUGCUGAAAGAUCUGUUUGAGUUACUAGGUUCCUCUUGGCCUCUGGUUCUACUAGAGGGAAACAUCUGCAAGGUUCACAUAUUCUUUCUUAUUAAUAAGUGUGGCACAUAAUUCUUCAGUUAUCAUUUUUUACCUUAAUGCAAUAUGUCUAAUCAUUUUGCCUUCAUUCUGCCAAUCUAUUCCAUACUAUCAUUCUUGCCAUUGCUAAAGUAACACUUCCAAACAUUUUUUUCACUUGCUCAACAACUUCCAAUAUUUUUAUGUCCAGAGUUCUUACCAUGGCAUUCAGUGCGUCUCCUCCCUUAGCCUGCCUUUGCAAACUUACCUCCUAAUCUGUUGCAUGACCCUCUCUUCCAGUAAGCAUGCUGUACUCACUGAUGCUAAAAUGUAGCUUGCUCAUUUCAAACUGUCGUCCAUGAAUCUUACUGUGCAGUCUCUAAAUCUAUCUCCCACUUCUGAACCCCUAUUUUAGAUGGUGCGUGAAUACUAAUUUUUCAUUGAACUACAUUUUCUGAUAUCUGAAGAUGUUUCCUAUAUUCCUCUGGUUAGAUAACAAUCUUCCUUGGGGUGGAGUUUUAUUUUAUGUAGCCUCUAGUGUGGUGCUAAUCCUAUCAUAGCACUCAACAUUUGCUGACUUACUCUAGUUUGGAUUUUACCUUUAGUUUAUAUUAAAACUAUAAACUGUUAAACUAUGUUGCUUUAUUCCAUGUGACAACACAACAAUUGAUGCUAUAUAAUAACAAAAUAAAUAAAUAAAGUAACCACAACAAAACGUUUCGGCCAGAAGUAAGGAAACUAGAUUCUAAUCCCAGUACUGGGUCCAAACAACCUGCAUAUUAUUAGAAUAUGGGUGUUCCUAAUAUGAAAGCAGCUCAUUUCAGGAUCUGAGAACUACUAAACUCCACAUCUAAUUUAUCUAAUGCUCAGCAUUACCCUAAGUAUAAACCACACAAAUGUGGAAAAGAUACUUUGCAAAACUAAAAAUACCUGAUUAUAAUAUAGUAUAAUUAAUACAACUAACUGAGUAAUUCUUCGAAACAGGGAAUUUAUUUAUUUGUAGAUAUAAAUCAAGAUAACUUCAUGCAUAUUAUAACAAUUAUAUAUUGCAAUCCUGACAUAAUCUAUUUUUCUUGUUAUCCAAAGGGAAAACUUAGCUCCUUAAAAUUUAUUCAGAUCUCACCUCUGUGUAUUAUUUGAGAAGGUAGGAAAUGUCGGACAGAUUGAGAUCUGUGGUACAGUCACUGAGUCAGUACAGAAUAUUGUCUUUGAUGGUGGUACAAAGGAAAAUUUUAUAGGAGAGUAUGGUUGCUCAUGUGGACGUCAACCUUCAAAACUCAGAAAAGUUUGUUCCUCUUCCAAAGCCAUUGGGAUCUCAGCGGCAGACUGACACUUUCCUGGUGUUGAAGAACAGCAAAGGAAGAUUGUGUAAUAUCAUAUAUGUUCUCAAUAUGCCCUAUUUCAGUCUGCAGUUGUGGCCCCUCUCAUAAAACAAACACCUGUGGAAGCUGAAACUACGGAAGUUUUACUGCCAAAUGGUCGUUCAACUAAACAAGAACAACUUUGUUCAGAGAACGGGAUAGAACAAAAAUGAAGUUCCUAUGCAAUCAGUUCAGAAGCUUUUAGAGAAUGACACUUUGAAAUAACUUUCUCAAAUACAAAAUUUCCAGAAAGGUUUUAGUAAAUAAUUUUAUAAUAGCAUUUUAAACAGAUCAUUUAUGCAGAUGUAAAUGUACAUUCAAGGGGAUAUUGGCCUUUAUAAUUAGAUUUAGGCCCAGAAACACUACAGCCUCGUCAACAUUCUUACAGUUCAACCAUAGACUAAUUAAUAGAUAUUUAUUUGUUUUGACACGUUGGGGACUUUUUCAGUUCAUUUAGGCAACAAAAUGCACAUUCUUAAUUUCUUUCUCUCUUUUUCAGGAGAAACCAAAGAUAAUAAAAGUGCUAUUUCGUUAGCCUCUACUCUUUAUAAUGCCACCUCUAUAAACAACAUCCUUAUUAGUAAAAUAUGAUACAAGUGCCCUUAGGGUAAAAUCAAUGAAUAUUUAUUUAGGAACUGGCUUUUGGCCAAUUUUUCUGUACCCUAAAGGCAUAAAUAUUAUAUACCAGGGAAGUUCAAUUCCCAUGUACUUAUGAUUUUUUUCUCUGCACAUUUGUAAAAGGCAGAAGUAUCUGCAUGACACUUUCUAAAACUCACUUGUCAAAAGGUUCACCUGUGGUUGGGAGCUAAAAUCGGCAUUUCUGGUUCAUCAUAAAAUGUUAAAUAAGUAUAAAUUCUGGUUAACUAUCUUAAGUUAAAUAGCUAAAACACACAGGAGAGAGUUCUCAUUAUCUUAGUCUUCUAAAUUUUGAGCCAGUGGCUUUAAGAAAUAGUAGGGGGAAAGUGGUUAAAACGAAAACAUGUAUCCCUGAAGUCAGUCUUUGAGACAGAGUGUUGAAAGCUGGCAAGCAAUUUUUUCAGAACAUUCUCUGUGUUGUCAUUAUGUUUUCUUGUGGAGAAUGUGUUUUCCACACCUCUCAGCAGAAUCACUGUAAUUCAAUGAACAGGUAAGUUGAAUUAUGGAUGUUGAAGCCACAUCUUGCUAAAGGGAACCACAGUCCUAACAACUCCUUGAACAAAAUGCUAGGGCUGCUCAAUAGAAUAGAAUUCCCAUGUUACCCAUUUUUUUAUGACUCUCCACUGUACUGGGAUGUAGGCAGGAAUCACGUCUCUAGAUCACUUGAAAGUAAUGAGGGACAGCUUGAGAAAUAUUAAAUUUUUAUCACUUUCAAUUCUCUGCUACUACUUUUAACAAUUAAUUUGUAUUUGUGUGUAAUACUGAUUCCUCUUUAUGCCCUUAAUGUUUUUAUUAAAACAUAAUGUGCUCAUAAACACAGAGACUAAAUCUUUUUGCUUUUACUAAUUUAAUUUUUAACAAAUGUUGUGCAUAAAUAGGAACUUCUUAAACCCUCGUGAUUGUUAUUAAACUUGUCAGCAUUAAUUGAAUGUACUCUUUCUUCCUUUGAACUUGAAAACACAUUCAAACUGUCUUUCAUGAGGCUUAACGCAGUCUGCUUGGUAUUACAGUUAUUUGGGAAUAGCCUUUCCUACAGUAUAACACCAACUAUCUAAGUUCUGCACCAACUACCUGGCUCGUUUUUGUCAAAUACACAGUCAGUACUGAUUGAAUGAUAAGUAAUUGUUGCCAAACAGAAUUCACUACCAACCUAAACCAUGGACUUACACAUUCUGUAAUACCUCCUUAAACUAACUCUAGCUCUGCAGCAUAGAUAAACAUUCCUAGAAAAGCUGGAUAUGGAGAUGUGAAUAAAGCAUGUGCAGUAAAUACCAAUGUUGGGAAAAAAAUUCUGUGUUUCAGAAAAUCAAACUACCUGUAGCUACUUGGGGAAUGAUGAAGAAAUAGAGAAGUCUUUGUGGGGUUUCAGGAGCCAUUUGAUUCAAGUAAGUCGGCUCCAGUAGCAGGUUCUCUAGGAUUAUUUCUCCCCGACAGAUUCUGUGUAAAGGCAUUUGGACUAUGAGUCAGUAAGCUUGGCAGAUAUCUCAACAGAAACAGAAUUUAGCAAUCCAAUGUAGAGGAAGUAUUACAUACAUCUCAGGAAGAGAGGGAGGAAAGAAAAAAUUCAGAAAUGAAAGGACUUAUUAGGAUGUCAUGAACCAAAACACCCUGAACAAAGCUUCAGCUAAGAGUCCUAAAUAAAUAAAACAAAGAUGUUAAUGGAAUAUGAUUCAAAAUAAGUCUAAGAAAUUAUGCAUGCUGUUAAAACUGCCUAUUCAGUUUGUAUUUUAAUGUUUCAACUUUUCUGUCCUAAAUUUGUGACUCACCUGGGACUUUGUGUUUAACAAACACUCUUUAUAUUUUGUUUAUGAGCAAAAAUUUCUAAAGGCAAAAUUUUAUUACAGUGUAGGAUUAUUAGAAAGAAGAGAUGACACAAGAGUUUAUUUCCAUCUAUUUAUUUAUUUAUUUGCAUUUUCAUCAGGAAAGGUAUUGUAAGAUUCAAAAUAGUACACUAUAAAACAACUAAAAAUAAUAAUGUAGAGAAAAUUACUGUAUUUUUUGGAUGUAUUUGUCCUCCUAUCCUACCCAAUUAUAUAUUUACACACAUACACACGCACACACGCAUAUCACUGAGCAACAAAUCUUGCUUCUGUCUUUAAGUAGAAGAUCUCAAGAAAAUAAUUUAACCUAUUAACUUUGGUUUCAUUUUCUAUAAUAUUAAAAUGUUAAAUUAGAAGGUCAGUAUCAUUUAUUUGUUUGCUUUUUGGAAAUACCAAAGUUUCUGCCAUUUAAAAAAAUACAGGAAUAUCAUAAAGAGUGAAGAGUUUCUGGAGAAAGAAAUAUUAAAUGGAAAUAAAAAAUAACAAAAUAAAAGAGCUUGAGAGAUAAGGCCCAGUUUGAAAUGACCGGACUGUGUGUCUCCUGAAUUGUUUCAUGUCACAAAAGGCUUUUGACGUUGAGUUAAUGUUCUGGCCCUACUUACACUUUUCUCCUCCUUAGAUCACAGAGCUGGAGGAGGAAUUAGUAUAGCAGUCUUAGCUUAGACCGAAGGCGUAUAAUCCUAGAAGUCAAAAUAAAUUUCAACAGGGUUAUUUCUAACUAGAAUAAUGGUCAUGUGACUUAGAGGCCUCUGGCUUUGAAGACCUCACAAACAUAUGUGGAAAAUGAAGCUAUAAAGAGCUAUGAAAGGUGACAAAAGAAAAAGUGAGAUAAGCACAUCCUAUAAUUAAACAUUUGCAUCCAAGACCAAAGCAUUCCUCUUUUUAAAUCUUAUUUUCAAAAUUAUAAUUAGAGUAUUUGCUUACAGAUUUUCAUAUUUCAAUACAAUCACAAUAGUUUGUUUGUUUGUUUAUUUUGUUUUGUUUUUGGAGAUGGAGUCUUACUCCGUCACCAAGGCUGGAGUGCAGUGGCGCAACCUCAGCUCACUGCAACCUCUGCCUCCUGGUAUCAAGCGAUUCUUGUGCCUCUGCCUCCCAAUAAAAUCACAAUAGUUAUUCAACUUUAGUGAGCAUUCGAAUCAUCUGGAAGGUUUGCUGAAACUCAGCUUGUUGCCCACCAACCCCAGGAUUUCUGACUCAGAGGGUGUUGAAAAGGCCUGAGAAGGUGCAUUCUAACAAGUUCCCAGGGAUGAUGAUGAUGUUGCCGUUCUAGGAACACAUUUUGAGCAGCAUUCGUCAAAAGUUUUAUUCAAAUAGAGUAAUUUUUGAAUCACAUGUAGAAAUAUCACAGCAUCCUAAGCCAGCUAAUUUAUUUCCUAUCAUUCUGCUAGAUUUAAGGGUUAUUUUUUAAUGUACAGUAACCCAGUAGAAUGUGUAAAUUUCCAAAUGUCUUAAAACACACUUUAAAAGGCUAUCGUUGUAUCAUAUUUUUAAAAAUGUUGCGAUGUUAUAGCAUUCAUUCUCAAACAUAUAAUACCGGUGAUUGAGUACCACAGCCUACACAUUUGUAUUCUCUGUGUCCUGGGGAUUCAGACAUGAAUAAAUGAUCCAUGUGUCUGCUUUGGCGGAACUCAGUGGAUACUGACAGGUAAAUGGGAGAACAGACCAGAAAGACACAAACGGCAGAGUGCUGUCUUGUAAAGACGAACAAAGGACUGGGAUUGUGCCAGGCUGGGGCAGUGGUGCUCUUCACGUAGAAGCCCUUAUUCAAACAGAAGCCUUAUUUGGCUGGCUCUUAAAAGUGAAUAGGAAUAUUCUGGACUAAGAAAGGGAAAGGAUCCCCCAAACAGAUGGAAAAAUAUAUACAACCCUAUUUUGUGAUUUAAAAAUAUGCUACCUCAACCGUCAAUCUAAUUUUGGAAAUUAGAUGUAUAUGUCUAAGAUAACGUGCAUUAGCAAUAUGCAGCUAUUUAUUUUAUUAGCAUUACAUUUUAAAAGAGAAUGAAACAGAUCUGAAAGUGUGUGUCAGUAUUAAAUAUCCUGGUAAAGGGUUCGGUCCACAAUUGCUGAAAGAUUCAAGUCAAUAGCAUGAUUCUUUUAAAGGGAAGUAAAUCAGGGAAGGCUCCCUGGAGGAGGUGUCUUCGCCAGUUCUCACAGAACAUUUGGGAUUUGAGUGCAGGCUCUACAGGGAGAGCAGGGUGAGUAUAGAUAGUCCCCAAUUUGCAAGAUAACAACACAAGGGCCAUGAACGUUUUUCUGAUCCUGAACUAUUUUCAGAGUAUCUCUGCCAGUGUAAUAUACUAAAAAGAAAAAGGGAUAUUUUUCUGUCUAUGCAUUACAAUAGUAGAUUGCUUUGUAUUGGAUUUGGGGUGUUUAAAGGGCCACCCUACCAUAAAUCCUUUGACAUUUAUAUUUUCACAUGAUAUAACAUUUAUGAUUUUGGCAAUGAAGAAUGAGUUUCACUCCAACUGCUAAUAGCUCCCGUUAGUCUUUUUUAACUUAAAAGAAGAAAAACUAACAAGUUUCUGUCUCUCACAAACCAAAACAAUAGGCUCUUUCUAAAAAGCUGUCAUCGAAAAAAAUAAACAAGAGAAAUCCUUAUUAAUGGUAAAGGAAGAUUUUUGUGUGUGUUCCAAACUAUUUUUAAAUGCCUUUCAUCUUGGGGAUCCUGUGACUGAGGGACUUGCUCUCCUUACUUUAAUCAGUGAAGGAGAAUGAGCUGGCCAGGGGGGCCUGGCUGGAUGGAGGGUGGGACUCUGCUGCUGCGCAGGCCAGCCUGAGCCUGCUACAUGCCAGUAAGUCAAGGUCGAUAUAAUGAUUUCUGAACAAAGAGAUGAAUGUCUUUGCCAAUCCCCUUGGUGUUAUCCAGACCACAUCUUCCCUGCACUAACACGUAAUUGUAAGUUUAUUUUUUGCUAGUCUCUGUCUCUUCAAAGGAGGGCUGUAUUUAGGCAAAAAUAAUUAUUAAGAUGGAAUUCACAUUUGACUGUUGUUUCACUUUGCUGCUGAAAGGGAAUUUUACCACCGCCCCAUCUGCUUUGAAGAUGGCAAUAAAGUCAGCAAGUUAUACUCUCUUCCUGAAUUAGUUCCUAAUUAAUUUUGUAUUUUAGAUUUACUACCUGUCUUCCCUUCUCAGUUUAAAGCCCUCCCCUUACAUCUGCUUCUCGCACAGUCCACGAGCCAAGAAGGCAGAGAUAGUGCCAGCUAUGAAAAGAAACAAUAGCAAUUAGGAUGAAGUGGUGUUCGUUCCUUGAAGAAAGCUAUGUGCUCAGCUGAAGGAUAGUUAGAAAGCUCGCUUCAUAGCCCUUAUGUGAGGAAAAAGGAUCUAGGGUGAGUGAUUGUAUUUCCAAGAGUUCAGCAGUCAGAGAACCUGCCUGCCAAACUGUUUAAUCCUACUCUUAUGUGUUCUUAGAUUUAACAGGGUCAACUGGAAUCGUUAUUUGUUGGUGCAUUUAAGGAGUACAAAUGCAUUUUAUGUGAGCAAAGGGUUAACUGAUUUGGGACUAGUGAUGACAUUUUUUGAGAAAGUGGGGAAACCUUAAGCAUUUUUCCACCUGGUUUGGAUCUGUGCAAGACUGCCUUCCAAAAAAAAGAAAAAAGUAAAGGCGUUGUUCUGGCUCUAAUGGCAUCGUGAAACCAGGAAGGAUGCGUUAGUCUUGGGAGACCCUGGGCCCUUCUGGCAAUGACUCCUUUCACCUUCCCUCCCACUUCCUCAUACCCUGUAAAAGAGACGGCACUCUAUUCCAAGAGUGACAAGCUGGGAGUUAGGAGUCUUUUUUCUUUCUUUCCUUCCUUCCUUCCUUCCUUCCUUCCUUCCUUCCUUCCUUCCUUCCUUCCUUCCUCCCUUCCUUUCUUUUUUUGAGAUGGAGUGUCACUCUGUUGCCCAGGCUGGAGUGCAGUGGCAUGAUCUUGGCUCACUGCAAGCUCCGCCUCCCGGGUUCAAGCUAUUCUCCUGCCUCAGCCUCCCGAGUAGCUGGGAUUACAGACGCCCGGCUAAUUUUAGUAUUUUUAGGAGAGACGGCGUUUCACCGUGUUGGCCAAGCUGAUCUCGAACUCCUGACUUCAGGUGAUUCACCCGCCUCGGCCUCUCGAAGUACUGGGAUUACAGGCGUGAGCCACUGCGCCUGGCCAGGAAUAAUUUUUAAUGGCAUCUCUGUGAGUGAGACCCACUUAGAAAAAGGGGGCGCUUCAUUACACUUCAGGUCUGACAAUAACAUUGGUCCCUACAGGGUUGUUUUGUUAUAAUGGUGAAGAGAAAACAGCUGCUACCCAUCGGGCCCCCGGUGUGUACAGGAUCUGCCCCUUCUCCCUCGGCCUGUGUGGCUUUACUCCAGGGACUCCAGUUUCCUCCCACAUCCCCAAGAGGUGUCCUUUAGCCCUUUGAGCUGGUGCGUCCUCAGGGCCCAGUGUGAGUGUGGGGGCGUGUGAAUGAGUGUGAGUGUGACAGUGGGUGUGGGUGAGUGUGGGUGACCGGGAGGGAGUUUGGGUGAAUGCAGGUGAGGGUGAAUGUGGGUGAGUGUGGGUGAGCAGGAGGGAGUGUGGGUGAGUGGGUGAGUGAAGGUGUUUGUGGGUGAGGGUGAGUGGGUGAGGGUGAGUGUGGGAGUGGGUGACUGUGAAUGUGAGAGUGGGUGUGGGUGAAUACAGGUGAGUGGGAGGAAGUGGGGGGUGAGAGUGUGAGAGUGUGAGGGUGAGUGUGGGUGACUGUAGGUGAGUGAGGGUGACUGGGUGUGAGUGAGGGUGAGUGUGGGUGAGAUGAGGUGAGGGUGUGAGUGUGGGGGUGAGGGUGAAUGCAGAUGAAUGUGAAUGUGUGAGGGUGAGUGUGACUGGGUGAGUGUGGGUGUGUGUGAGGGUCAGUGAGGUUGAGUGAGGGUGUGUGAGGGUGAGUGUGGGUGAGGGUCACUGAGUGUAGGUGAUUGUGAGUGUGGGUGUGAGUGUGGGUGAGGGUGUAUGAGUGAGGGUGCAGGUGUGUGGGUGAGAGUGGGUGAUGGUGAGGGUGAGUGUGAGGGUGUGUGAGUGUGAGGGUGAGUGGGUGUAGGUGAGGGUGAGGGUGUGGGUGAAUGUGAGUGGGUGGGUGUGUGGGUGAGGGUGUAUGUGGGUGUGGGUGAGGGUGAGCAUCAGUGUGGCUGAGUGUGCUUGGGUGGGUGAGUGAGGGUGAAUGAGGGUGAGUUUGGGUCAGUGUGGGUGAGUGUGUAGGUGAGUGUGACAGAGUAAAUGAGCAAGGGUGUGUGUGGGUCAGUGUGGGUGUGUGGGUAUGUGUGAAUGUGUGGGUGUGUGACUAAGGGUGAGUGUGAGUGAGUGUGGGUGAGGGUGAAAGUGAGUGAAGGUGAACGAGGGUGAGUGUGGGUGAGUGAGGGUGAAUGAGGGUGAGUGUGGGUGAGUGAGGGUGAAUGAGGGGGAGUAGGGGUGAGGGUGAAUGAGGGGGAGUGUGGGUCAGUGUGGGUGCGUGUGUGAGAGUGAAUGAGGGUGUUUCUGGGUGCGUGUGUGUGGGUGAGUUGAGAGAAUGAGUGAGGGUGUUUGUGGGUGCGUGUGAGUGUGUGGGUGAGUGUGAGUGAGAAAGAAUGAGUGAGGGUGUUUGUGGGUGAGUGUGAGUGUGUGGGUAAGAGUGAGAGUGCAUGAGUGAGGGUGUUUGUGGGUGCGUGUGAGUGUGUGGGUUAGUGUGAGCGAGAGUGAACGAGUGUGUUUUUUGGGUGCGUGUGAGUGUGUGGGUGAGUGUGAAUGAGAGUGAAUGAGUGAGGGUGUUUAUGGGUGAGUGUGGGUGUCAGUGGGUGGCUCCAGCCACCUGGGACCCUGGACUGGAAUAAGUUGGUGAAUAAUUAUCUUACUUGUUUUGAUUAAUCCUUCUUAAAU